rnacentral:rRNA from 1 species
ACGAACGCUGGCGGCGUGCCUAAUACAUGCCCGUAGAACGCUGAAGGAGGAGCUUGCUUCUCUGGAUGAGUUGCGAACGGGUGAGUAACGCGUAGGUAACCUGCCUGGUAGCGGGGGAUAACUAUUGGAAACGAUAGCUAAUACCGCAUAAGAGUAGAUGUCGCAUGACAUUUGCUUAAAAGGUGCAAUUGCAUCACUACCAGAUGGACCUGCGUUGUAUUAGCUAGUUGGUGAGGUAACGGCUCACCAAGGCAACGAUACAUAGCCGACCUGAGAGGGUGAUCGGCCACACUGGGACUGAGACACGGCCCAGACUCCUACGGGAGGCAGCAGUAGGGAAUCUUCGGCAAUGGACGGAAGUCUGACCGAGCAACGCCGCGUGAGUGAAGAAGGUUUUCGGAUCGUAAAGCUCUGUUGUAAGAGAAGAACGAGUGUGAGAGUGGAAAGUUCACACUGUGACGGUAUCUUACCAGAAAGGGACGGCUAACUACGUG